UAAUAUUUAAGUAAGAAUUAAUUUAGGUAUACGUUCAAUGUUUCCAAUGAUGAGCAGUUAAUCCACUAAACCCAGAGAUAAUUCCUGAGGCAUGUUUAAAGAGUUUUGUAUUUCAUCAAGAAGGUGCUGCUGAUUCACAAAGAUUUUAUAUUUAAGAAAAUCUGAGCAUCAUUCCAAAUAACUGUUAACAUGUUUGUCAACUAAACAUGUUUUGUAAACGUAAUAAACUUUAUAAAAAUAUUUUUUAUUUUUUAUUAAUAAUCAAGUAUAAAGAACAAUGCAUAGUGUGAAAACGCGGAUUAUAAAAAGUAUAUAUAAAAGAAAAGGACUACAUUUCCCAGAAUGCACCUGCACCUACUCAUCUGCCCCCACCCUUCAGGUGCGACUGCUCAACCUAUGGGCUUGACGGGAAAAUUCAAAAUCGCGAACCGUUACUGCCUGGACUACUCCGUCUCUUGUUUGUUUGUUUGCUCAUUAACAGUAAGAGGUCAUGUACACUGUGGUCAACUUUGUGGACGAUGAAGAGGUUUCUGGGUAAAGCUGAUAGAAAUAUAAUGAAGUAACAGUGAAAGCUAAAACAUCAGACUGAUCCAGACACUGAAGAAAUUGAUGUCACUGCAAUCUGGCCAAAAUGAUACAACUAUAUUGAAGUAACCUACUGUAAUGAAGCUGCAGAACAACACAGAGACUCUGAGGACAUCAACACAGAAAAUUAAGGCACCAAAGAGAUGUCUGUCCAGAUGAGGGUGCAUCAACGUUACCUUUGCUGACAAGUAUAUGCUUUACAAUGUAAAACCUAACAGUUAACUUAACUCAAACCAUUUAAGGAAAUCGGUUGCCUUAACCCAUUAAGUUUAAAAAAAAACAUACAUUUGAGUACUGUGAACUUAAGUCUUGUGCAAUAAUGCACUUAUAUUUAGUUAGUGUGAACUUAAAUAUAAGUGCAUAACUGCAUGUGACUCAAUUUGUUUAAGUUCACAGUACUCAAAUCUAUGUGUUUUAAAACUUAAAUGGUUUAAUGCAACCGGUUUUCUUAAAUGGUUUGAGUUUAGUUAACUUUUAGGUUUUACAGUGAGAAAUUCUUGAAUAAUUCCAAGACAGAGCUCUGCAAUUGUAUCUACACUGCAAAAAAAUCAGUUUCUAACUUAGGAUUUUUAUCUUGUUUUUAGUAGAAAAACUAAAAAUUCUUAAAUCAAGAUGUAUUUUCUUGAUGAGCAAAA